rnacentral:rRNA from 1 species
UACGUAGGGGGCAAGCGUUAUCCGGAAUCACUGGGUGUAAAGGGAGCGUAGACGGCUGAGCAAGCCUGAAGUGAAAGGCGGGGGCCCAACCCCCGGACUGCUUUGGGAACUGUACGGCUGGAGUGCAGGAGAGGUAAGUGGAAUUCCUAGUGUAGCGGUGAAAUGCGUAGAUAUUAGGAGGAACACCAGUGGCGAAGGCGGCUUACUGGACUGUAACUGACGUUGAGGCUCGAAAGCGUGGGGAGCAAACA